UGUGCAGGCUGCGCGGAAAGUCAAAUGUGAAAGCCCGGGGCUCAACCUCGGAACUGCAUUCGAUACUCCCGUGCUAGAGUCAUGGAGAGGUCAGUGGAAUUCCCGGUGUAGCAGUGAAAUGCGUGGAUAUCGGGAGGAACAUCAAUGGCGAAGGCAACUGACUGGACAUGGACUGACGCUCAGACACGAAGGCCAGGGUAGCGAAAG
rnacentral:rRNA from 1 species